UACAGAGGGUGCGAGCGUUAAUCGGAAUCACUGGGCGUAAAGCGUGCGUAGACGGUUGCGUAAGUCAGAUGUGAAAGCCCCGGGCUCAACCUGGGAAUUGCAUUUGAGACUGCGUAGCUAGGGUGCGGAAGAGGGAAGCGGAAUUUCCGGUGUAGCGGUGAAAUGCGUAGAUAUCGGAAGGAACACCAGUGGCGAAAGCGGCUUCCUGGUCCAGCACCGACGUUCAGGCACGAAAGCGUGGGGAGCAAACAGG
rnacentral:rRNA from 1 species